AGCGUGCCCUGUUUAUCUCAUGUUGACAUAACUGGUUGGCCUGAUAAAUGUAAGUUCACAGUGUAACAGCUUUCCAGAUGGAACAUGAACACGUCUUCAGAGGGACGCGCUUCAUAGAACAUCCAACCGGAAAUUAAACUUGCGUGAAUUAUGCUCGACUUCUCCAUGUUGCCACCCUUUAGCACAACUCUUCACUGCUGCUCACCGGUUUCUCACCUGCUUGGAUCGCGGCACGUCUUCGAAGUAGUUGUCGUUGCUGCGCUGCCUGCGACGGGCGUCCGCCUGCAUGAUGAGGUGCUGCACGUCCAGAGAUCCGCCCGGGACCCCCGCCGUGUACGCUGCCUGGCCCACCGACGGGCUGAGCUGGGGAGGAGUGUGGUUUCCGCCGGGUUCCUUGGAUUGGAGCAGUGGAGGGAAGCAAGAGAGGGUUCAUUCAUCAUUUCAUAAUGUGCUGUGUCACUGCUGCAAGUGCAAUAAGUAAAGCAAUCGGAUUCACUGUG